UACGUAGGGUGCAGGCGUUAAUCGGAAUUACUGGGCGUAAAGCGUGCGCAGGCGGUUUGCUAAGACAGGUGUGAAAUCCCCGGGCUUAACCCUGGGAAUGGCAUUUGGGACUGCAAGGCUCGAGUGCGGCAGAGGAGACUGGAAUUCCUGGUGUAGCAGUGAAAUGCGUAGAUAUCAGGAGGAACACCGAUGGCGAAGGCAGGUCUCUGGGCUGACACUGACGCUCAUGCACGAAAGCGUGGGAGCGAA
rnacentral:rRNA from 1 species